rnacentral:rRNA from 1 species
UGUGAGAGCAAGAGCCCGGAGAUGGAUUCUGAGACACGAAUCCAGGCCCUACGGGGCGCAGCAGGCGCGAAAACUUUACAAUGCGAGAAAUCGUGAUAAGGGAACCCCGAGUGCCCGUAAAUUCGGGCUGUCCGCCAGUGCAAAUAGCUGGUGAAGAAAGGGCCGGGCAAGACCGGUGCCAGCCGCCGCGGUAAUACCGGCGGCUCGAGUGGUGGCCACUAUUACUGGGCUUAAAGCGUCCGUAGCUUGAUUGUUAAGUCUCUUGGGAAAUCCACCGGCUCAACCGAUGGGCGUUCAGGAGAAACUGGCAAUCUAGGGACCGGGAGAGGUGAGAGGUACUCCAGGGGUAGGAGUGAAAUCCUGUAAUCCUUGGGGGACCACCUGUGGCGAAGGCGUCUCACUAGAACGGCUCCGACAGUGAGGGACGAAAGCUGGGGGAGCAAACCGGAUUAGAUACCCGGGUAGUCCCAGCUGUAAACGAUGCGCGUUAGGUGUAUCGGUGACCACGAGUCAUCGAGGUGCCGAAGGGAAACCGUGAAACGUG